UGAACAAUAGAGAAUGAGUUCUCAUUUGAACUGAGACUGUUGAUAUAAUAUAUGUAAUGAUUCACAUGCAUGUAAUCAUAUGAUAUACAGUGUAUUUGUUUUGAGAAAUUUCAAGCUUUCAGAAAGACUCCUCAUCCGGUGGGGCGGGAGGAUGUUUCGUUGAUCGAAACUUAUUUCUAGUGGAUUUGCUGAUAUUUACUCUUUUUCUUGUUCAUUGAAAGAUACCAUAGAUUUUUCGGUUUACGGCCGUUUAUAGGUGGCUAAUUUUAGCUUCGAAACAUGUCAGAAAACCCGAGGCACAAGUUUCGACCGAAGGCUUGAAAUUUCAACCGUAUGUGCAGAUUUCGUCAAGCUAGAAGUUUGGCCGACUCUCAUUAUGUUUAAGAAAGUUUAUAGUUCCUGCCCAAGAAAUUGAAUUAUAUAUUCUUCAACAUCUGAACUGCGUUGUUCGACGACAUUUGACUCACAUCGUUGGUCAUUUGAUUAAAGUACAAAUCAACGCCAUAAUA